CUUCAAUUCUAUGUAAUGGAAAUCGUUCAUCUUUAAAACCAUGUUAUCAUGAAUAUAAAAGUACAAAUGAUCUGGGAAAAGUAAACAAUCAUUUUACA